AUGUCGCGGCAGGGCGUGGACGAGGAGGAGGAGGACCAGAAGCCGGUGAUCAAGCCCGGCGUGCACGUGACACUCAAGGUGCGGAACACCGACGGCCACACCGUCUACCGCACCAUGCGGCGGACGGAGCAGCUGCAGAGCCUCAUGGACUUCUACUACGCCAGCGUGCCGGCGGUCCAGCGCGGCACGGGGCGGUUCCUGUACGACGGCGGCCGGCUGCGCGGCUGGCAGACGCCGGCGGAGCUCCAGAUGGAGGACGGCGACGAGGUGGACUUCUUCACCGAGCUGCUGGGAGGCGGCGGGACAAGCGCGCUCCCGAAAGCUGAGCGGGGCAUGGCGGCGGAUCUCCGUUUCGUCACGCUCAAGGUGGUCGAUCAGGAGCAGCGCCUGGUCCGCCGCACCAUCAGGAUGACCGCCCAGCUCCAGAUUGUCAUGGAUGCGUACUACGACGAGGCGGGGGACGUCGUCAGAGGCACCGGCUCCUUCUGGUUCGAAAACGUUCGGCUGCGCGGCGAGCGCACGCCGGCGUAUUUCAAGCUGCAAGACGGGGACGCCAUCGACUUUGAAACGCAGCUUGGCGGCGGGAUCCCGUUCUAG
rnacentral:rRNA from 1 species